rnacentral:rRNA from 1 species
AUUGAACGCUGGCGGCAUGCCUUACACAUGCAAGUCGAACGGCAGCACGGGAGCAAUCCUGGUGGCGAGUGGCGAACGGGUGAGUAAUAUAUCGGAACGUGCCCAGUCGUGGGGGAUAACGUAGCGAAAGCUACGCUAAUACCGCAUACGAUCUAUGGAUGAAAGCGGGGGAUCGCAAGACCUCGCGCGAUUGGAGCGGCCGAUAUCAGAUUAGGUAGUUGGUGAGGUAAAGGCUCACCAAGCCGACGAUCUGUAGCUGGUCUGAGAGGACGACCGAGCCACACUGGGACUGAGACACGGCCCAGACUCCUACGGGAGGCAGCAGUGGGGAAUUUUGGACAAUGGCGCAAGCCUGAUCCAGCAAUGCCGCGUGCAGGAUGAAGGCC